GACGAACGUUGGCGGCGUGCUUAAUACAUGCAAGUCAACUGAAGCAGUGGUAGCAAUAUCGCUGUGGAGGUGGCGCACGGGUGAGUAACACGUAGGUAAUCUGCCUUCAGGUCUGGCAUAACUCUGGGAAACCGGGGCUAAUAGCAGAUGAUGCAGCGGCUCGACAUCGAGACAGUUGUUAAAGCUAUGGCGCCUGAAGAUGAGCCUGCGUCUGAUUAGCUAGUUGGCGGGGUAACGGCCCACCAAGGCAACGAUCAGUAGCUGGUCUGAGAGGAUGAUCAGCCACACUGGAACUGAGACACGGUCCAGACUCCUACGGGAGGCAGCAGUAAGGAAUAUUGCUCAAUGGGAGAAAUCCUGAAGCAGCAACGCAGCGUGAGGGACGAAGGGCUUUUGCUUGUAAACCUCUGUAGUGAGAGAAAAAAAUCCCAAUCUUUGGGACAUGAUGGUAUCUCAAAAGUAAGCCCCGGCUAACUACGUG
rnacentral:rRNA from 1 species